UGCACAGAUCUUCCCCGUGCCAGGCUUACAAAAGGAAGUUUCCGGAGCUGAGCAGCUUUUCAGGAGCUCCAUGGCCAGUUCACCUCCCCAUUCUGACACCUAACGCCGUGAGGCUCCGUCCUUGAAGAGAUGUAACAUGUUCUGGAGAAGAUGUCAAGGGUCACUUCGAAGUGUGCACAGGUGAGUUAAUGAGAGCUGCUGCCUUUCAAUGUGGGCUACUGACGCUUUCUCCAACAGGUAGGUGUCUUGUGUGCAAAGGCCAAUAGUAUUUCCUGCAAUCUGGAGGCAGAUUCUGCUCACAAUCUCGAGACACAGCAAACUCUCCCCACCCGAGAAGAGGAUGGGAUGAGGCACACUGAAGAGGAAAGAAAACUGAUCCUGUAGCCACAGAAAAACAGGACUGAGACCAGGAAGGGCAAGUCGCGGAGCUAAUAAGAACAUUUGCUUCAUAACCAUUGAACCUAAUGUAUCUGUUUUUGGACACUGGUGAUUUAUUUUUGCACACAUGCUCCAAAUUGGUGCUAAUUACUUUAAAGGAUCAGAG
rnacentral:lncRNA from 1 species